rnacentral:rRNA from 1 species
CCUACGGGAGGCAGCAGUGGGGGAUAUUGCACAAUGGGGGGAACCCUGAUGCAGCGACGCCGCGUGGGUGAAGAAGCGCCUCGGCGCGUAAAGCCCUGUCAGCAGGGAAGAAAAUGACGGUACCUGAAGAAGAAGCCCCGGCUAACUACGUGCCAGCAGCCGCGGUAAUACGUAGGGGGCAAGCGUUAUCCGGAUUUACUGGGUGUAAAGGGAGCGUAGGCGGUAAGGCAAGUCUGAUGUGAAAGGCCAGGGCUCAACCCUGGGACUGCAUUGGAAACUGUUUAACUGGAGUGUCGGAGAGGCAA